rnacentral:rRNA from 1 species
CCUACGGGGGGCAGCAGUGAGGAAUAUUGGUCAAUGGACGAGAGUCUGAACCAGCCAAGUAGCGUGAAGGAUGACUGCCCUAUGGGUUGUAAACUUCUUUUAUAUGGGAAUAAAACGUUCCACGUGUGGGAUUUUGUAUGUACCAUAUGAAUAAGGAUCGGCUAACUCCGUGCCAGCAGCCGCGGUAAUACGGAGGAUCCGAGCGUUAUCCGGAUUUAUUGGGUUUAAAGGGAGCGUAGGUGGAUUGUUAAGUCAGUUGUGAAAGUUUGCGGCUCAACCGUAAAAUUGCAGUUGAAACUGGCAGUCUUGAGUACAGUAGAGGUGUGCGGAAUUCGUGGUGUAGCGGUGAAAUGCUUAGAUAUCACGAAGAACUCCGAUUGCGAAGGCAGUUCACUGGACUGCAACUGACACUGAGGCUCGAAAGUGUGGGUAUCAAACAGGAUUAGAUACCCCAGUAGUC